rnacentral:rRNA from 1 species
UACGUAGGGUGCAAGCGUUAAUCGGAAUUACUGGGCGUAAAGCGUGCGCAGGCGGUUAUGCAAGACAGAUGUGAAAUCCCCGGGCUUAACCUGGGAACCGCAUUUGUGACUGCAUAGCUGGAGUAUGGCAGAGGGGGAUGGAAUUCCGCGUGUAGCAGUGAAAUGCGUAGAUAUGCGGAGGAACACCGAUGGCGAAGGCAGUCCCCUGGGCCUGUACUGACGCUCAUGCACGAAAGCGUGGGGAGCAAACAGG